rnacentral:misc_RNA from 1 species
CAACCCUUAAGCCCUUCGGCUUAGCGUUGGGAGUCCGCGUCCCCCGGCGCGGUUCCCCAAAGUCAUUGGCGGCUUCGCAGCCCACUCUGAGCGUAGUAAUCAACUGUUUCUCGCUCCUGCAGUGGCCGCGGCAGCCCGCCGUAAAACCCCCCCUAUAACUUAGUGG